rnacentral:rRNA from 1 species
GACGAACGCUGGCGGCGUGCUUAACACAUGCAAGUCGAACGGAAAGGCCUGCUUUCCCUUGUGGAUUGCGGGUACUCGAGUGGCGAACGGGUGAGUAUCACGUGAGUGAUCUGCCCCCAACCUGGGUAUAAGCCUGGGAAACUGGGUCUAAUUCCCGAUAGGACUGCAGGGUGGUGCCUGUGGUGGAAAACGAUUUUCUAGUGGUUGGGGAUGAGCUCGCGGCCUAUCAGCUUGUUGGUGGGGUAAUGGCCUACCAAGGCGGCGACGGGUAGCCGGCCUGAGAGGGUGGACGGCCACAUUGGGACUGAGAUACGGCCCAGACUCCUACGGGAGGCAGCAGUGGGGAAUAUUGCACAAUGGGCGGAAGCCUGAUGCAGCGACGCCGCGUGGGGGAUGACGGCCUUCGGGUUGUAAACUCCUUUCGACCGCGAGGAAGCCACCUGGUUGGAAGGGUGGUGACGGUAGUGGUAGAAGAAGCACCGGCUAACUACGUG